rnacentral:rRNA from 1 species
UACGUAGGGUGCAAGCGUUAAUCGGAAUUACUGGGCGUAAAGCGUGCGCAGGCGGUUGUGCAAGACCGAUGUGAAAUCCCCGGGCUCAACCUGGGAAUGGCAUUGGUGACUGCACGGCUAGAGUGUGUCAGAGGGGGGUAGAAUUCCACGUGUAGCAGUGAAAUGCGUAGAGAUGUGGAGGAAGACCGGUGGCGAAGGCGGUCUGCUGGGCAGUUUCUGACACUGAGGCGCGACAGCGUGGGGGAGCGAACAGG